ensembl:lncRNA
CCCACCAUCACCCUGGGUGGCUCCUCGGUCAAAUCAAUGGCGUUCUUUCGCUUUCUGGGCCCAAUCAUUGCCCAGGACCUCAAGUAGGAGCUGAACCUCGCUUACAAAGAAAGCUCAGCAGAGGAUGUACUUCCUGUGGAAGCUGAAAAGUUCAACCUGCCAAAAACGAUGAUGGUGCAUUUCGUCAGUCCUGACCUCCUCCAUCACCGUCUGGUACACUCUGCAGAGAGGGUGAUUGGCUGCAAUCUGCCGUCUCUACAAGACUUACACCCCUCCCUUGAUACAGAGGACACAAUAAGUAACUUGAGGUGUCAACAUUCUAUUGGCCAAGUCUAUUGUGACAUUUAUUCACCAUUACCUGAUCCUAAGGUCUUUGUGAGACGCAGAGUGGGUGAACGACUGAAGCAUGGCGGAGGUGUGAUGGUGUCUGGCUGCUAUUGAGGUGGAAAAUGGAUCACGAUGGGUUGGUGCAACAGGACCACAGUGGCCUACAUCAAUCGCCAAGGGGGAGUCAGCUCUCCUCUACUCAACCUGCGCUCGUUGAAGGCCUCCCAUAUUCCGAGUCAACUCAAUGUGGGAAGAGACCUCAUGUCCCGAGGAGGUCCUCAGCACGAUUCAGGGUGCCUGGGCUGUAUCUACUUCUAAGGUGUAUGUGGGGGAAUGGAACGUCUUUUCGCUAUGGUGCAAGGGCCAUUCUAUAGACCCUGUGUGCUGUGAGGUGGGUUGAAUUCUCAACCUAAAGUCAUCCCCCAUUGUUAAGGACUAGAACAAUCUUGAUGUUGAUGCGUGGAAUAUGCAUGAAAGUUGUGAUUUUGGUUUUGGCUGACCGCCACUAUUUGGUGUAACAUAGAUAUGCAUCAAAGUUGGAAAGAUUCCCUUAACUUUAGGAGGUUAAUUGAAUCAUGAUGUUUAUGUUGUCACGAAGUACUUUGGCCAUUGCCUGAGGAAAUGUACAUUUUGAUAUGCUAAUUUGGG